GAUGAACGCUGGCGGCGUGCCUAAUACAUGCAAGUCGAGCGAACGGACGAGAAGCUUGCUUCUCUGAUGUUAGCGGCGGACGGGUGAGUAACACGUGGAUAACCUACCUAUAAGACUGGGAUAACUUCGGGAAACCGGAGCUAAUACCGGAUAAUAUUUUGAACCGCAUGGUUCAAUAGUGAAAGACGGUUUUGCUGUCACUUAUAGAUGGAUCCGCGCUGCAUUAGCUAGUUGGUAAGGUAACGGCUUACCAAGGCAACGAUGCAUAGCCGACCUGAGAGGGUGAUCGGCCACACUGGAACUGAGACACGGUCCAGACUCCUACGGGAGGCAGCAGUAGGGAAUCUUCCGCAAAGGGCGAAAGCCUGACGGAGCAACGCCGCGUGAGUGAUGAAGGUCUUCGGAUCGUAAAACUCUGUUAUUAGGGAAGAACAUAUGUGUAAGUAACUGUGCACAUCUUGACGGUACCUAAUCAGAAAGCCACGGCUAACUACGUG
rnacentral:rRNA from 1 species